AUGGCUAGCUUGAUGCCAUCGCUUGCCAUGGACCUGCCACAAGAAGAAGGAGGCCACGAGGACUCCGCGUUCCUCGGCGUCGUGGGAGAUCCAGACGACUCGGAGUUGGCCUCGUUGGUGGCCGGGGCGCUGAAGACGGUGGACGCGCCGUCCGACGACGACGACGACGAGCUCAGCUGCCCGAUCUGCUUGGAGGAGGACGACGCCGCGGCGUGGAAGGAGACACCGUGCGGGCACCGGUUCCACGGGCGGUGCGUAGAGAGGUGGCUGCAGGAGAAAGAGAGCUGUCCCAUGUGCCGUCGCGAGGUCGUCACGGCGCCCGCCGCCACCGCAGAUUGUACUGCUGCACACCUACAUUUCUUGUGGAUAGCUGCCUUGGGGUUGCAUGUGUUUGGCGAUGUUCCUGUGGACGACAUGGAAACUGAUGAUGAUGAUGAUGCUUAG
rnacentral:rRNA from 1 species